rnacentral:lncRNA from 1 species
CCGUUGCCACCCAACUCCAGCUAAUCCGAUCUCAAAAUGAAAAUUUGCAUUAAUAUAUUAGUAUUAGAGAAAGGAUCCAAGCCCACUUAUGGGAAAGAGAAAAUAUUUAAUGGAAGAAGUUUCAUCACACUGCUCCAACAUCGAGAUGAUCUGGCCAUCCAUAAAUCGGCCAAUGCCGGUCGAUCUAAUCACCCCCAAAUCGAUCAAUGCCUUUUAAAUCAUC